UACGGAGGGGACUCGCGUUGUUCGGAAUUACUGGGAGUAAAGCGCACGUAGGCGGAUUUGUAAGGCAGGGGUGAAAUCCCGGGGCUCAACCUCGGAACUGCCUUUGAUACUGCAAAUCUCGAGUCCGGAAGAGGUGAGUGGAAUUCCUAGUGUAGAGGUGAAAUUCGUAGAUAUUAGGAAGAACACCAGUGGCGAAGGCGGCUCACUGGUCCGGUACUGACGCUGAGGUGCGAAAGCGUGGGGAGCAAACAGG
rnacentral:rRNA from 1 species